UACGAAGGGUGCAAACGUUGCUCGGAAUUAUUGGGCGUAAAGAGCUCGUAGGCGGCCUGUUGCGUCCGCUGUGAAAGCCCGGGGCUUAACCCCGGGUCGGCAGUGGAUACGGGCAGGCUAGAGGUAGGUAGGGGAGAAUGGAAUUCCCGGUGUAGCGGUGAAAUGCGCAGAUAUCGGGAGGAACACCGGUGGCGAAGGCGGUUCUCUGGGCCUUACCUGACGCUGAGGAGCGAAAGCGUGGGGAGCGAACAGG
rnacentral:rRNA from 1 species